rnacentral:rRNA from 1 species
GGGAGGUAGUGACAAUAAAUAACAAUACGGGGCUCUUUCGGGUCUCGUAAUUGGAAUGAGUACAAUUUAAAUCCCUUAACGAGGAACAAUUGGAGGGCAAGUCUGGUGCCAGCAGCCGCGGUAAUUCCAGCUCCAAUAGCGUAUAUUAAAGUUGUUGCAGUUAAAAAGCUCGUAGUUGAAUUUCGGGAUUGACACAUCGGUCGUGCCUUAAGGGGUAUGAACUGGUGUAGUCAAUUUCUCACCUUCUGGAGAACCGCGAUGCCCUUAAUUGGGUGUCACGGGGAACCAGGACCUUUACUUUGAAAAAUUAGAGUGUUUAAAGCAGGCAUUUUGCUUGAAUACAUUAGCAUGGAAUAAUAAAAUAGGACGGCAUGAUUCUAUUUUGUUGGUUUCUAGGAUCACCGUAAUGAUUAAUAGGGAUAGUUGGG